UAACUAGAGCCCGUUAAUAGAACCGGGGCCGGCUCCUCGCCAGCGCCCGGGGCCGAGGCCGGGCCUCCUGCUCCCCGCCCCCCCGGGAGCCACCCGUGGGGACCAGGCCGCAUCCCCCCCCGCCGGCCCCGGGGCCCUCCCCUGGCCGCUCCCUCAGCCCUAGAGAGCUGGGGCGGGAACCCCCGGGGGCUCCAAUUCAGGGGUAAUCCACCCCCACCCUAGGAAAGAGGGGCAGUAGGGGAGACCCCCCCACAUUUCCGGCUGAGAUUGAAGGAUCCCUGGGGCAGCGCCAAGGGAAGCUGCAGCGGGAGUUCCUCCUCCUCUCCCCUCCCAUGCCAGGCCCCCCGUUACUGCCAGGGCACUGUCCCUCUCCUCCCUUGGGCACGUUGGGUUUUGAGUGAAGAAUAUUUGCUCCCUCUCUUCCCAUUCCCAAGCUCCCUGUGGACUCCUGGGAAAGGAGAGUCCCUGGCUCAGCCCCAGAUGUUAAGUGGAGCAAAGAGAAGAUUCCAGUGUAGGUGGCUCCCUUUAGAACAAAAAGGUCUUCAGAGUUUAAAGACUGUGCUUCCUGUUUCUGGUGGUACUUACAAGGAACCUGCUGUCAAUUAAUGAUUUUGCAGGCUGCACACAGUACCCCAAAGGGAUUGAAAUCAGGAUCUAGACUAACUCUGGAUGCACCCAGUAGCUGAUUUAAAUUCUUCUUUAGCUCGUUUAAAAAAAAAACACAAAAUCAGAUUGAUGAUGAUAUUGGCCUUCGCUGCCUAAAACCAACCAACAAACAGCAGAACCCUUCCCGUCAGCUUUGAUUUUUAAUUGAGAAUGAAAAUACGAAAAUAGCUCCUCAUAUCAUACCUAUCAGUAUGUGGAGUCGGAAAAUCAUUCCCAAAACUGGUGCUUUGGGGUGCACGAGUGCACAUUGCACUCGGGGAUUGAGCUGUGCACCUUAUUUUCAGAAUAGACUGCUGUGUUAUUUGAUUAUAAAAAUGAAAUAUCCUGGGAAUAGUUAAUUUUGAAACAAGGGAACUUGGAACUACCACCGUGGCAUGCGAUUACGUUGGAUGUGUAUACAACUGAUUAGGCUUAAUAGACGGUACUAAAUUUGGGGCUGGAUACCCGAGCAUUUCAGGAAAAAGUUGGUGUAGAGGUACUUCCGUCUAUUUCUUUUCCUCUUAAAAUAAUCCCCAUUCAUGCAACUGGUUGAAGAGGAAGUUGAUUCCUCCAGACACUCAGGAAAAGAUCACGUAAGUGGGCAAGAUCAGUUGUCAAUAAUUCCAUAGUAAAAUUACUCCCAGUUCUGGCAUAAAUUUUGGAGAUAGAGAAUGAGUGCAUAUUCUUUCGGUGUGCCAGUCUCCCCUGUCUCCCCUAGUAGUAGAUGCAGCAGCUUUAGUAGUGCUGGCAGUCUGGAAUUUAUUCCCAGUGCCCAUUCGGACACUGAGGAGGAGGAUAAGGUGGUGGCGGAAGGGGUGGAACAACCUGCGAAACAUAAAAGAAAGAAGGGGUUGCGGACUAAGGGAAAGCCACACCAUAAAAAACUGGUGCUGUCUAAACAGUUUGUUAAAGUUUUGGGACCGGCAGGUGCUGUUGAAGCUGCCUGUGCUGCAGCUGCAGUAGUCAUGCCUGGUGCUCCUGAGCAAGAUGGAGAGAGCUUCUUUAUCGAGAGCAAUACAGUAAAGCGAGUUCUUUUGCCUGGUACAAGAGCAAAGACUUCCAUCGUGUGGAACUUCUUCCAUGUUGAUCCCCAGUACCCCUGUCGUGCCAUCUGCAGCCUAUGUAAAAAAAGCGUCAGCCGUGGCAAGCCAGGCACCCACCUCGGCACAUCGACCCUUCAGCGGCAUCUCCAAGCAAAGCAUUCUGUGUAUUGGGCCGUGGCUAAUAAAAUAAGUGCUACUGGUGGAAGCAGUGUAGGGGAGGAGGAAUAUGCCUUUAAUGUGCCUGUGUCACCGAUCUCCCCUGAUAGCAGAUUUAGCAGUUUGAGCAGCAGUGGGAGUUUGGAAUAUAGUCCCAAUGUUCACUUGCACAGUGACAGUGUGGAAGAGGCGCUGGGCCAGUUUUCCAACAAAAAAAGAAGAAAGAAAGGACUGCAGGUUAAUGAGUUAUACCCAGGAAAACCAGAGCUUUCAAAAAAAAUUGCCAAAGAUGUGGGUCCCACAGGCGCAACGACUGCAGCCAGUGCAGCCGCAGCAAUAGUCGUUUCUGGUGCAUCUGGAGAAGACAGAGAGAGUUUUCUCAUUGAAAGCAAUACUGUCAAACGCGUCCUGAUGCCGGGAACCAGGACAAAGACGUCAGCCGUCUGGAACUUCUUCUACAUUGAUCCUCAGUAUACCUGCAGGGCUGUUUGUAAUGUCUGUAAAAAGAGUGUCAGUCGAGGCAGGCCAGGCACUCAUCUUGGCACCUCCACGCUGCAACGGCAUCUGCAGGCCAUGCAUCCCAUACACUGGGCCAUGGCCAACAAAUCUAAUGGCACUAUUGGUAACGAUGUAGACGAAGAAACAAUAGAGGAUUUUUCUAUUGGUCCUAGGGAGAUGGACUUGUCAGUUGUCUGUCGCAGAAGCUUUUCAAGCUAUUUCUCGUCUCGGAGGGAUAAACUUACAGCCAGUUACAGUUUAACAUCUCAAGGCCUGGGUGUCCAUGGGCCAACUUUAUCUCCUAAGCCAGUGCUUGGUAAAAGAAAGGUCAUAAGUCCCAACUUUGGGACUCCUCAAGACUCUCAAACAUUCACUACUGAGAAGAAAAUUAAAUACCAUGAAAUUCCAGUUGCACAGCGGAUAAAUAGGGCUAUUACAGAAUUGAUUAUUGAGGAUAUGCAACCGUACUCAUUUUUUUCUACCCCUGCUUUUCAGAGAUUCAUGAAGAUAGUGGCACCAGGCUAUCAGCUGCCAUCUAGAACUUACUUUUCCACAAAGGCUGUGCCCCGGUUAUACAAUGUUGUGAGAGAAAAGGUUUUCAUGGCUCUGGAGAAAGCUGAGUGCAAAAAAGUUCACUUAACCAUUGACAUGUGGACCCAUGAACCAACCACAGACUAUCUGACAGUGAUGGCACAUUGGGUGUCUUUUGAAAUGCUGCUAUCUUCCUCUCAUAGUGCCAGCAAAACUCCCAGUUGUAGGAAGCAGGCAGCUCUUUGUGUAACUGGCUUUGCUAAAGAUUAUGCAGCAGCCAGUAUUUUACAAGAACUAAAUUACCAAAUUGGUGUGUGGCUUUCCCCCAAUUCCCUCACUCCUGGCUUCAUAGUUUCUGACAACACUGCCAAUGUUGUGCAUGCAGUGAGAGAUGGAGACUUUACCCAAGUGCCAUGCUUUAUGCAUUGUUUAAGUUUAGUAAUUCAGGCCUUCCUCCGUGAGCACAAAAGCAUGAGGAGCAUGUUAAUAGCGGCUCGAGAGAUUUGCCAUCAUUUUAAUCAUUCUGUCAAGGCCCGUCAAAUUUUGCAGGAGUUUCAGCAUGCAAACCAUCUUCCACAGCACAACUUGAAGCAGGAGGUGUCCACCCAGUGGACCUCCACCUUUUAUAUGCUGAGGCGACUUUUAGAGCAGCAGAAGGCAGUGCAUGACUAUUCCAUGCAACACCACGUGGGGAGGGCGGAUGGGGUCAUCCUCACCUCAUUUCAGUGGUGUCUGAUGGCUCACGUGUGUGACAUCCUUGAGCCGUUUGAAGAAGCCACUCAGAAAGUGAGCAUGUGCACUGCAGGUCUUAGUCAGGUGCUGCCAUUAGUUCACCGCCUGCUUUUGACUCUGCAGAACAUGCGAAAAGACUUUCAAAUCAAAGGUGCCACUGUAGCUCUCGGGCUGGUGGAUGACUUGUCUCUGAGGCUCGAAACUGACUCCCGAUUGAGCACCGUGCUCAGAUCUGAGCAUUACAUCUUGGCCACUUUAUUAGAUCCCUGCUUUAAAGACAAUUUAGAAGAAUUCCUUCCUCAAGGUACUGACUUGAUAAGCUAUAAACAGAUCCUUAUUGAAGUAGUAUCUGAGUAUAUGUGCACAUCAGUGGAGGGUUGCUCCUUGGAAGCUACAGAAGUAUCAGGCCAUUCAUCACUUAUAGGAACUGAUCCUUUUGCUCUUCACCUUAAGAAAGAUUAUUCUGGUUCAGAUCCCUUCAGUGGCUUCUCUUCGAGUGGUGCAGCUUUAAUAGGCAAGAAGAGGCUGUUGUGCCCAUCAGCUGCAGCAAUAGUAGAAGAGUACUUUCAAGAUGAGUCUUCAGGGAUAACAGUUAAAGAUGACCCCCUGACUUACUGGCAGGGGAAACUGAGAAGAUGGCCUGCAUUAACCCGAGUAGCUAUUCAGUAUCUCAGCUGUCCUCCCUGUAGUCUGCACUCUGAAUGUGUCUUCAGCGCACCCAGACACCUUGUUUCAGAACACUGUGCUAGUCCAGGUUUUGACAACAUUGAACAGUUAAUGUUCCUUAAAAUGAACUUAAAAACUAUUAAUUAUGACUAUUCCACUCUGGCCUUGGGCUUUGACACAGAGGAUGAGAUCACUCAGAGUAGUGAGGAUGAGAUGUUUUAGCCAGAGUUGGUAGCUUCAGUUUGUUCUCGCUCUGGACCAUUUGAAGUGCUGGGAUUUGUGCUGCUAUGUACUGUUCUUGUACAGUUGUUAAUAUCUAGCACUUCUUGUGCUUUCCAUCUUAAGAGCACUUUACAACAUCCUCCAAAUGCCCCUGUGAAGUAGGUAAAAAAGCAUUAUGUCCAUUUUAUAUACCAGGAAACUGAUGCCUGACUUAGUGAGAAAGGUGGGAUUAAAAUUUGGGAGUUCCUGGCUCCUGAUCUUGUGUUCAGAGUGUCCUAAUAAACACCACAUAGGUUCUUUUUAAUAUAAAUAAUGAAAAUAACUAUUUUUUAAAAAUAAUUAAAAAUACAAAAACAGGUCAAUAAUAAAGAGAAAGCAAAAUCAAUUCAUGCUUUAAAAUCAUAAAGAGGACUAGAUAGGUAUCUAUCAUUGAUAAGCAUGGUGCUGGCAGUAGUAACUGAAUAGUGCUCCCUUAUGACACCUAUUAAGGUAUAAAAAUGUUCCCUCUCUGGACUUCUCUCCCCCAUAAUCCCAGCAUACUGUUGAAAGGCUAUGGACUAAUGCUGGCUGGCAAACUGAAAAGAUGGAUGAGUGACUAACAUAGUUUUUCAGUGUUGAGAAAGACAGGGCUCGAAAAUGAACUGGGCAAAUGUUCACUGUAUUCUUGUCUUCCUUUAGUGAGAGUGAAGUGUGUGACCCCAGCUUUUUAUUUCUUCUCACUGGUCUCUAUUUAUUGUUUUGAUAUAACUAAGAUCCUGUACAAAAGUGAAAUUACAGUGUGAACCACAGCUCAAUCUCAAUGUGAACACCAGUGUAAUUUUCAGGAUUUGAUUGGCUUUGAAGUUCUUAAUCAGUUUCUGAUGCAAGCUUGCUGAGUGCGCCAGAGUUAUUCAUUCAUUUUAAGCUUUAAGGGGUUAACUCAAUUGAUUUUCUGUAGUAUUUAAAUUGCUGUUCUACCUAAAGUUUAAUUUAAAAAAAAAAAUUAAGUCUAGUUUCUGUGUUAACAUUUUUUAUUUGUAGUGCUUGUAUAGAACUGAGAGGCUUGAGUUGCUUGGUAGUAUAAUUUCAGUGAGGGUAAUUCAAACCCUGGACUGUGUGCAAAGUACUAAGUAUGUGCCGAAGUAUGGAAGUAAUAUACAAAUAUAUUGAAAGUAAUAAUCAAAAAUAGCACACAUUAUCAGACAGACCAGGAGGCAUUGUCCGUUACUUGCCAAGUAAUAAGUUUUGAUUUAUGUAGAGGCAUUUCACACUUUGAAAUUGUAUUGAAUUCUGGAGGAUAUUAGUGAAAGUGAAUUUGGCACAACUUCCCUGUAUCUAAUAUAUGUUAAUUGCACACCGAGAGAACAUUAGUGUAGUUAGAUACAGAUAAACAAAAGUUACCUGGGAUACAAAAUCCAGUUGUAAAGGCAACAAAAGUCAAAAGUGAGUAAUUAUUUAGAUACUAAGGGAAGGACAGAGAUUGAUUCUUACCUUUUUAAAAUUCCCCUUGUCAAGAGUUUAAAACCGAUAACUAGUACAAGAACCCAACUUUUCCUCUCACUAUUUUAGAUUUAGGGAAAGUCCCUCCCUUUUCUCCUCUUCUUCUCCCCCCCUCAAAAAAAAAAAAUCCUGGAAAAAUUCACUAGUGCAUGAGAAUAAAAGGUCUAAUCUUAAUAAAAUACAAUAGGUCCAUUAUUAAUUUGUAAGAACUACUUCAUUCAAUUUCUUCUAAGAUAGAAUUGGAAGAGAAUUAGCACAGAAAUGUUUCAGUGCUUUUAAUGUAUGCAAUGUUAUUGAAGUCAUAUCAGUCCCAGGUUAUUAGAGAGACAAAGUGGGUGAGGUAACAUCUUUUAUUGGACCAAAUUCUCUCACCAACAGAAGUUGAUCCAAGAGAAGUCAUUACCUCACUCACCUUGUCUCUCUCAGCACUUUUAAUGACCCAGGAAUUGGAAUCUCUUAAGUUUAGAUCUAAUGGUCAAAAAUGCAGGUUUAUGGCAUUCAGUAAAAAUAAAUAAACUGAAAUGUUUCAUUUCACAGUGAAAUUAAACUGUUUGUGGUAACUGGAAACACCUUUAGGCUCCUUAUGGUGUUAAAGUCAUUGGCUGCUAAGAAUUGAACCCAAGCCAUCCUUUCAGACCUUUGCCAUCUCACAGCGAUGGAUAAUGGUGGAUAUAUAUACCAGGGAACAGUAUAUGAUCACAAACCAGUAGUAUUUGAAAAAUAUAAAAGAAAUUAAAAUUGGCUUCCAAAAGUCAAAAUAAAAAUAUUUCCAAAUUGUGUGUCAUGCAGCUGUGCCUCUUCAAAACUGAGCGUUUCCCUGCUUCUUACAGCUUGCUAUAUUUUAGAACUGCUAUCUUUCUGCACUUGAUUGCAACUUUAAAUAUCUGAUCAGAGCUACAUGUUGUUCUUUACAGUAUGGAUAUCAGACUAUGCAUACUUUGAGCGUAUAAAUAUGGAUAUACUAUAUGCAUGUACAUACAUGUGUAUAUUUGUGCCAGAUCCAAACUUGCCCAUAUUAUAAAGCAUUGGCCUGAAAGUGUAUUUGUGUGACACUUUUAUAACUCCUCAGUUUUUGCCAUUCCCCCAAAUUGAGACACUUUAUGGUGCAUUUUAAGUGACAAGUAGCCCAAAUAUAUCAUUUUUAUUACCACAUUUGAAUAUAUUGGUGUGUGUAUAAACACAUUUGUAUAUAUGUAUAUACAUAUGUAUGUUUAUACAUACAAGUAUGUUUUUGCUAUACAGGUAAUAAAGAUGGGGGAAGGUUUUUGUGUUUUCUUAAUAGGUGAAGAAAUCUUGAAGACCAGAAAUUGGAACUUAUUGAGUUUUUAAAUUAAAAAAAAAAAAAAAUUAUAUUGUCCGGCUGUGGAAGAUGGAUCUUCAUUUUUGCAGCCGCUUUGACUCACAAGUUCAUCUUUAAAUAAACUGUUUUUUGAAGAGCUAACUAACCCUCGCUGUCUCCAGUCUGACAGAGAGUAUUCAAAUGGACUUGCUUCCUCCAGUAGUUGUAAGAUGUUUAAAAGCACAGCCUGUGUCUGAAUUGUGGAUGAGAAAUUUCCUUGGCAAUGUGAGGAGAAAAUUCUUUCUAUCCCUUUAUUAUUAAUUCACGGAUUGAGUGUUGGUUCGGCCUACAGGAGAAAUUUAUUGGAAGUCUGUGAAGACCAACGUUCUUGCCGAGGUUAUCCAGCUACCUUUUCCAAGGUUACUUUUUAAAGAAGAUUUCACUGAUCACGUCUGAAGAAGAAAGGGUGAAGCCUGUUUUCACUAAGAGAGGAAGAAGUCUGUGUGGAGCAAUAGCCCUGAUAACUUGAGCUUAUUCUAACAAUCUGUCCAGCAUG